rnacentral:misc_RNA from 1 species
AGUCGUAACAAGGUUUCCGUAGGUGAACCUGCGGAAGGAUCCAAUUGACCCUAGAGGGUUGUUAGGGCUUUGCCUGCUAUCUCUUACCCAUGUCUUUUAAGUACCUUACGUUUCCUCGGCGGUCCGCCCGCCGGUUGGACAAUUUAAACCAUUUGCAGUUGCAAUCAGCGUCUGAAAAACUUAAUAGUUACAA